CCUACGGGGGGCUGCAGUGGGGAAUAUUGGACAAUGGGGGGAACCCUGAUCCAGCCAUGCCGCGUGUAUGAAGAAGGCCCUCGGGUUGUAAAGCACUUUCAGUGAGGAAGAACGCCUGGUGGUUAAUACCCAUCAGGAAAGACAUCACUCACAGAAGAAGCACCGGCUAACUCCGUGCCAGCAGCCGCGGUAAUACGGAGGGUGCGAGCGUUAAUCGGAAUUACUGGGCGUAAAGCGCGCGUAGGUGGCUUGAUAAGCCGGUUGUGAAAGCCCCGGGCUCAACCUGGGAACGGCAUCCGGAACUGUCAAGCUAGAGUGCAGGAGAGGAAGGUAGAAUUCCCGGUGUAGCGGUGAAAUGCGUAGAGAUCGGGAGGAAUACCAGUGGCGAAGGCGGCCUUCUGGACUGACACUGACACUGAGGUGCGAAAGCGUGGGUAGCAAACAGGAUUAGAUACCCUGGUAGUC
rnacentral:rRNA from 1 species